UACAAAUUUACGUUUUUACCAACUGAUUGGAGUUGACACUCUGUUCUAGAGUGUCUUUUCCAUUGUCUAGAUGACUCUAAACGAGGCAUUUGUCUGAUUGAAGA
rnacentral:snoRNA from 1 species